CUCCUCCCCCACGAAGAUCUCCUCCCUCCCGCAAAUCUCCCACUCUCUCGGCCCUUCUCCUCGCGAGAUUGCCUUCGCGCGCGCGCGCGCGGUCGCCGCCGCUCGAGUCCGGUUUGGGUUGGGUUGGGUUGAGGAGGUGGAGGGAGUUUUGCUCCGGUGACACCAGCCAUUUCCCCUCAUUUGGGGUGCGUGGUUCUUGGCUGUUCUUGUGGGGGUGGGUGGUUGUUGGUCGGAUCUUGGGGGCGGGCGGGGAUGGGCGAGCUCUGGGCGGGAUUCGAUCGGCUUGGAGCCUAGGGCGCGGCGGCGCUGGGCCAUUUGAAUCGUUUUGCUCUCCCCCGUUUCGGGUUCUUGGUCUAGGUUGGCUCUGCGGUUUCGGUUCGUCCUCGAGAGAAUCUGGCGUUUCGUCGUGGGCUGGGGAGUCUUCAGAUCGCAAGAUCCAAUCCUGUUUGCGUUUCUCUCAUCGAAUUCGGGAGAGACUGUCACUGUCAAUCGCUGUCGUCUCCCCCCCUCACCUUUUUCUCAUCCUCGCGAAAAUCUGAUUUUUUUUUCACCUGCUCAUUUCGAUUUGGUGGUGUUCGUCUUUCUCCACACCGGCGGGAAUCGAUCCCCCCGAGAUCCAAUCCGUGCCGCAUUUCUGCUGCUGAUUCGAUCGGAUUGAGUGGGUGGUGGGUGGUUGGGAUCGGAGGAUGACGUCCCCGGCGACGACGACGUACGCCUCGCCGUUCGUGCUGUCGGUGCUCCUGCUCGUCUCCAUCCCGGUCAUCUUCCUCCUCGCGCCGCGCCUGCUCCCGCCCAAGACGCUCCCGGCCAUCCCGGACGCCGACGAGUCCGAGGACCUCGCCCUCUUCCGCCGUGCCAUCCUGUCCUCCUCCUCCGCCACGCCCACGCCCUCCUCCACGGCGUCCUACUUCUUCCGCCGCCGCCCCGCCCCGAAGGUCGCCUUCCUCUUCCUCACCAACUCCGACCUCGUCUUCUCCCCGCUCUGGGAGAAGUUCUUCCGCGGCCACCGCCACCUCUUCAACCUCUACGUCCACGUCGACCCCUACUCCGUCCUCGAGCUGCCACCGACGCCCUCCUUCCGUGGCCGCUUCGUCCCGGCCAAGGCCACGCAGCGGGCCUCCCCCACGCUCAUCUCCGCCGCUCGCCGCCUCCUCGCCACCGCCCUGCUCGAUGACCCAUCCAACCAGUUCUUUGCUCUCCUGUCACAGUCUUGCAUCCCGCUCCACCCCUUCCCAACGCUUUACAAUGCACUUCUCUCCGACAAUGCUGGGCCUCAUGGCCGCCACCGCAGCUUCAUUGAGAUAAUGGACAAUGCCUCCACGCUUCAUGAUAGGUACUAUGCCCGCGGUGAUGAUGCGAUGCUCCCAGAGGUGCCCUAUGACCAGUUUCGGGCUGGAUCGCAGUUCUUUGUGUUGACAAGGAAGCAUGCCAUCAUGGUCGUCAGGGACAUGAAGCUAUGGAGGAAGUUUAAGCUUCCUUGUCUGAUCAAGCGCAGAGACUCAUGCUAUCCAGAGGAGCACUACUUCCCGACAUUGCUGGAUAUGCAAGAUCCUGAGGGCUGCACCAAGUAUACUCUAACAAGGGUGAACUGGACGGAUCAAGUCGAGGGCCAUCCUCACACAUACCGACCUGGUGAGGUAUCUGCGAGCCUGAUCAAGGAGCUGAGGAAGUCAAAUGGGACAUACUCGUACAUGUUCGCCCGCAAGUUUUCCCCGGAGUGCCUUGAACCACUGAUGGAGAUUGCAGACUCUGUCAUCCUACGUGACUAAGCCAGUAGCAACCCCCCAUUUCAGGGUGUCGGAAUUUGUACACUGAGGUGAUGAGGGCUGUGAUGUGAUGAACAAACACAAACUGGUCCAUCUAUGCCUUGAACUAUUUUCAUGAGGAACAACAUAUCCUCCUCCUUUCUCUUUUGUUAUUCAGAGAUUUUCCAGCAAUUGAAUGUGCUGGUGGGAGGCAACAACGGUAUUACUACAAAUUGUCCCUACAAUGGUGGGUCUUGACAGCUAUGGUUAGCAGUAGUACUUAUGUGCAGCUUGGUAGCAGCCUAACCGUGUUACCUGUUUGGUGUUCAUGGAGGAGUAACUGAAACUGAAAGCAUGGAAAUAGAGUAUUUAUGGCAUGAUGUUGUACUUAUCUUGUAAAUAAGUUGAUGGAAAUCUAUGAUGUAAACUGUUUUGUUGCAUGUUGUUCGGAUUGAGAGGUGAUCAACUCUUAUUCUGCG